UGGAAGUAAAAGUCGUAACAAGGUCUCCGUUGGUGAACCAGCGGAGGGAUCAUUACUGAGUACUGCACUCUCUACCCUUUGUGAACUAUUAUACCUGUUGCUUCGGCGGCGCCCGCAAGGGUGCCCGCCGGUCUCAUCAGAAUCUCUGUUUUCGAACCCGACGAUACUUCUGAGUGUUCUUAGCGAACUGUCAAAACUUUUAACAACGGAUCUCUUGGCUCCAGCAUCGAUGAAGAACGCAGCGAAACGCGAUAUGUAAUGUGAAUUGCAGAAUUCAGUGAAUCAUCGAAUCUUUGAACGCACAUGGCGCCUUCCAGUAUCCUGGGAGGCAUGCCUGUCCGAGCGUCGUUUCAACCCUCGAGCCCCUGUGGCCCGGCGUUGGGGAUCUGCCACGGCAGGCCCCUAAAACCAGUGGCGGACCCGAAGGCCCUCUCCUUUGCGCAGUAGCAUCAGCCUCGCAUUGGGAUCCCUCGGCGUCCUGCCUCUAAACCCCCCACAAGUCCGCUCCGGCGGCACCAAGGUGACCUCGGAUCAGGUAGAAUGCCCGACU
rnacentral:rRNA from 1 species